rnacentral:rRNA from 1 species
AAAAGGUGGCUAUGCUACCGCUUUUGGAUGGGCCCGCGGCGCAUUAGCUAGUUGGUGGGGUAAAGGCUUACCAAGGCAAUGAUGCGUAGCCGAACUGAGAGGUUGAUCGGCCACAUUGGGACUGAGACACGGCCCAAACUCCUACGGGAGGCAGCAGUAGGGAAUCUUCCACAAUGGGCGAAAGCCUGAUGGAGCAACGCCGCGUGGGUGAAGAAGGUCUUCGGAUCGUAAAACCCUGUUGUUAGAGAAGAAAGUGCGUGAGAGUAACUGUUCACGUUUCGACGGUAUCUAACCAGAAAGCCACGGCUAACUACGUGCCAGCAGCCGCGGUAAUACGUAGGUGGCAAGCGUUAUCCGGAUUUAUUGGGCGUAAAGGGAACGCAGGCGGUCUUUUAAGUCUGAUGUGAAAGCCUUCGGCUUAACCGGAGUAGUGCAUUGGAAACUGGGAGACUUGAGUGCAGAAGAGGAGAGUGGAACUCCAUGUGUAGCGGUGAAAUGCGUAGAUAUAUGGAAGAACACCAGUGGCGAAAGCGGCUCUCUGGUCUGUAACUGACGCUGAGGUUCGAGAGCGUGGGUAGCAAACAGGAUUAGAUACCCUGGUAGUCCACGCCGUAAACGAUGAAUGCUAAGUGUUGGAGGGUUUCCGCCCUUCA